UGGGAAAGCUCUUGAUCUUAACUGUAUUUCUACACCUGAGAAGGUUAAGAUUUAGUUCUUGCGUUAUACUUAGAGCCACUCUUCUGUUCCUUCUCCAUUGGCCUGCCCCUGAGAAAUAACACAAUUCUCAAUAGUGUUUGGUUCGAGGUGCUUCCCUUCUCUGUGGCUGCUGUGCUUCAAGACAAAGUUUCCAGAAUGAAGUUCCCAGACAAAAUUAUAAUAGUUAAGAUCACUGCUCCUACUGCACUACUAAUGUCACUGAUGUUCUCUUCUGGGUGUUUAACAACUAAAGUUUGAAGACAAAAACUAGGAAGACUCAAAGCUAUACACCUACCCAAGAUGACAAUGCCUGGUGCCUACCAAGGGCCUUUAAAUAGACCCUCUGUAGAGUAACUCAGACUGCCGAUCACAACUAUGGCCCUCUUCAUCUGGAUCAGUACUGUGAGACCCAACGUAGCAACUUAGCAAUACCAGCACCAUGUUGAGAACAUUCUCCUCCGUUUUGCAAAUAUGUGACUUCCAGCUGCACUCUGUCUCCCGGGAGAAAACUCCACCCCUAACCAGUAAACAGAAACUGUGUUUCAGGUGAUCUGCAACAAACUUACCCAGGGGAAUGUGAGGAACUAACUGUGCUUAUCCUGGCUUCUGUAACCAGCUUCUGCAACAAUUUGUAACCCAGGGGAAUGGGAGGAGGGACGUUUUCUGUGGUUUUUCACUCUCAAUAUGCAGUCCUCAUUUCAAUUGGGACCUUUGUCCUCUGACUUGGUUGGAGUGUACAUGGGUCCCGGCCAGAAAAUAAAGUUCUUCAGUAAGAUCCCAGGACUGUGUCCUGCUUUGAGAGUUUGUCGCUAAUCUAAUUUGGGGAUGAGGUCCAACAGUACUAGUCUGUAAAACUGUUACCAACUUCUUGUGUACCCUUCCAGAGACAUCCUAGGCACAUAGAAACAUCUGGCUGCUUAUAUAUUUGUGUAAGUUGUAUAUUUUUAUACAAAUGGUAGUACUAUAUAAUAUAUGCAAUGUCCUACACUUUACCAUUCCUUGUGCGACUCAGGAUUGAACCCAGAGCCUUUACCCUGAGCUACAUCCUCAGGCCAUUUUAUUAUUUUGAAAUGGGAUCUUGCUAAGUCACUAGGUUGCUCAGGCUUGCCUUGAACUUGUGAUUCUCCUGCCUCAGCUUUCCAGAGUGCUGGAAUUAUAGGCAUGUGCCACCAUGCCCGAUGGACUUUACCUUUUUCACUUAAUACAUCUUGGAGAUCAUUCUUUUUUUUUUUUUUU
ensembl:lncRNA